AGGGUGUAAACGCUGCAGACUUGGUGUUGGAGGCCCUUUGGGGGCAUUCAGUGCCGGAGAGAAGUUGUUAAGUCUGCUACUUGGGGAGUACGUCCGCAAGGAUGAAACUUAAAGGAAUUGGCGGGGAGCACCGCAACGGGAGGAGCGUGCGGUUUAAUUGGAUUCAACACCGUAAAACUCACCAGGGAAGACUGUUACAUGAAGGCCGAGAUGAAGACUCUGCUAGAUUUUCAGAGAGGUGGUGCAUGGCGUCAGUGACU
rnacentral:rRNA from 1 species